rnacentral:rRNA from 1 species
CUCAGGACGAACGCUGGCGGCGUGCUUAACACAUGCAAGUCGAACGGUAAGGCCCUUCGGGGUACACGAGUGGCGAACGGGUGAGUAACACGUGGGUGAUCUGCCCUGCACUUUGGGAUAAGCCUGGGAAACUGGGUCUAAUACCGAAUAUGACCAUGGACUUCACGGUUUGUGGUGGAAAGCUUUUGCGGUGUGGGAUGGGCCCGCGGCCUAUCAGCUUGUUGGUGGGGUAAUGGCCUACCAAGGCGACGACGGGUAGCCGGCCUGAGAGGGUGACCGGCCACACUGGGACUGAGAUACGGCCCAGACUCCUACGGGAGGCAGCAGUGGGGAAUAUUGCACAAUGGGCGCAAGCCUGAUGCAGCGACGCCGCGUGGGGGAUGACGGCCUUCGGGUUGUAAACCUCUUUCACCAGGGACGAAGCGAGAGUGACGGUACCUGGAGAAGAAGGACCGGCCAACUACGUG